rnacentral:misc_RNA from 1 species
GAUGAAGAAAGUAGCGAAAUGCGAUACGUAAUGUGAAUUGCAGAAUUCAGUGAAUCAUCGAAUCUUUGAACGCAUAUUGCGCUCUCUGGUAUUCCGGAGAGCAUGCUUGUUUGACUAUCAGUAAACACCUCAACUUCCAUAUCUUUUUUGAAAUGGGAGUUGGACUUGAGUGAUCCCAACGCUUUUCCUCACCGAAAAGUGGCGGGUUACUUGAAAUGCAGGUGCAGCUGGACUUUUCUCUGAGCUAUAAGCAUAUCUAUUUAGUCUGCCUAAAAAACAGAUUAUUACCUUUGCUGCAGCUAACAUAAAGGAGAUUAGUUCUUGUGCUGACUGAUGCAGGAUUCACAAAGACAGGCUUCGGCCGACUUUGUAAACUCGAUCUCAAAUCAAGUAAGACUACCCGCUGAACUUAAGCAUAUCAAUAAGCGGAGGA